rnacentral:rRNA from 1 species
CCCUUAGAUGUUCUGGGCCGCACGCGCGCUACACUGGUACGUUCAACAAGUUUACAACCUUGACCGAAAGGUCUGGGUAAUCUUUUGAAUGCGUACCGUGCUAGGGAUAGAUUAUUGCAAUUAUUAAUCUUGAACGAGGAAUUCCUAGUAAGCGCAAGUCAACAGCUUGCGUUGAUUACGUCCCUGCCCUUUGUACACACCGCCCGUCGCUACUACUGAUUGGAUGUUUAAGCGAGGUUCUCGAACUGCUAGCGACUUAGCUUCGGUGAGGUCGCAGUGUGGGAAGUGAACCUAGCUUUGGUGUCUAGAGGAAGUAAAAGUCGUAACA